rnacentral:misc_RNA from 1 species
GCACCAGAGAGUAACAUAUCUGGAGUUGUACUUCUACAGGAGCUACCACAUUUAUCUCAUCUAGGUGUUAGGGCCCGGCAGGAAAAGGUUGUUUUUGUGACCUGCGAUGACGAUGACAAAGUUUCUGAUGUAAGACAGCUACUAGGAAAAUAUGUGAGGUUAGAAGCAUCAUCAACUGGUGUAAAGUUAACUGCUUCUUCAUCAGAGAAGACGGGUGGUGUUUCUACAGAUAAACUUCUUUCAAGUAAUGCGUCUUCUACAGGUGCAACCUCAUCAGACAGCGGUGCUUCCUCAAUUGCCGUCAAAUCAUCUCAAGUUAAAGAGGUUGGACCUGCUAGAGGUGUUAUUCCUCUUGUUGAUGCAGAUAUACAAACCUCUGGUGCAAAAGCUGCUUCUUGUGCUCAAUUAGCUUCACUGGCCACUUCUUCUACUAAAGUUUAUAGUGACCAAGGUGCACCAGCAUCAUUUAAAGUUCCUGCUGGAGCAGUUAUUCCAUUUGGUUCCAUGGAAACGGCAUUGGAAACGAACAAGUUAAUGGAGACCUUCACAUUGCUUGUUGAGCAGAUAGAAACAGCUGAAAUUGAUGGCGGUGAACUUGAUAAACACUGUGAGGAUCUCCAGAAGUUAAUAUCUUCGUUAUUGCCUGGACAAGAUGUCAUCGAAAGCUUGGGAGAAAUAUUUCCCGGUAAUGCACGUUUAAUAGUGCGUUCAAGUGCUAAUGUCGAGGACUUGGCGGGGAUGUCAGCAGCCGGACUUUAUGAUUCAAUUCCUAAUGUUAGCCCUUCAGAUCCGGUAAGGUUUGGACAUGCUGUAGCCCGUGUUUGGGCCUCGUUGUAUACUAGAAGAGCAGUACUGAGCCGCAGAGCUGCUGGUGUGUCCCAGAAAGAUGCUACGAUGGCCGUGCUAGUGCAAGAAAUGCUUUCACCAGAUUUGUCUUUUGUCCUCCACACACUGAGCCCCACGGACAACAAUCAUAACUUCAUUGAGGCUGAAAUUGCACCUGGACUCGGUGAAACACUCGCUUCAGGAACAAGGGGUACACCGUGGCGUCUAUCUAGUGGUAAAUUUGAUGACACAGUUCGCACACUAGCAUUCGCCAACUUUAGCGAGGAGAUGGUUGUAGGUGGCAAUUCCCCUGCUGACGGAGAAGUUAUUCACUUGACUGUCGAUUAUAGCAAGAAACCUUUAACAAUCGACCCCAUUUUCAGACGUCAGCUCGGUCAGAGGCUUGGCGCUGUUGGUUUCUACCUAGAACGCAAGUUUGGUUCUCCUCAAGAUGUCGAAGGAUGUUUGGUUGGUAAUGAGAUUUUCAUCGUGCAAUCGCGACCUCAACCCCAGUGAGAUAUCGAGUUUGCACUGUACUUGUUCACAAUAGCGUUUGUAAAAUUCAGCAUCUCUCUGAGGUGUACACAGUUGAUUAAAUAAGCUUAUACUAGUCCUAUACGAGUAAAGGAGCAGCUUGAUGCAUUAAGUUACCGUUAUGUGCAAGCUCUGGAGAAGAGUCGGACCACGAGAGUCUACUGUACGAGCCUUACCUUAAAGAGUCUAUUGCAUUUCUGUCUCACCUAGAUUGCACAAUCUGCUGUACUGGCUGAGAUCAUACUUUCAUAUUAUUAUAGACAUUAAUAAAGUUCAAU